GGCCUGAUGGUCUAGUGGUACGAUUCUCGCUUUGGGUUAUUGUCUAAUGCCGACUGCGAGAGGCCCCGGGUUCGAACCCCGGUCAGGCCC